AUCACAUUUCACCUGUACUAUCUUCUCCACAGACCUGUCAUCUGCAGCAGCCAGGCCUUGGCACAGCAGGGAGGCCUGCUGCAGAAGCCCAUGCCAUGCACCACUGCAGCUGGGUCCACAACCUCAAUUUCCCACUACUCAACCUCCAUUGAGAAAAUGGAAGUGGGGCAGACAUGAAUGAAUGGUGGGAAUAUAGAAUUGACCAAUAGCAUCUUAUCAUUUCCAAACCUGAUUGGACAAAGUCUGGACCAAUAGCAUUGGUACAUUUUUCAAACCCUAAUUAGCAUAACUUUGAGCCAAUCACAGUGACCCAAGGGCUAUAUAAGCCCUCUUGCCAGCCACACUUCGCAGAAGAUAACUGAAGACAGCGGAGCAGAAGAAGACGGCGGAGCAGAAGAAGCCGGCGGAGCAGAAGCCGAAGCCGGCGGAGCAGAAGCCGAAGCCGCCGGAGCAGAAGCCGAAGCCGCCGGAGCAGAAGCCGAAGCCGCCGGAGCAGAAGCCGAAGCCGCCGGAGCAGAAGCCGAAGCCGCCGGAGCAGAAGCCGGCCGAGCAGAAGCCGGCCGAGCAGAAGCCGGCCCAUCUUCAGUGUGUUGAACUGCGAGUCUUCUAUGCUGUUUUUCAACAAAUACUUGCUCCAUCUGGCCUGAGGAUUCCAUUCUUCGCGUUUGUGGGAGAAGACCUUUAAAAGAAACCGACGUUGAGGGUGAGUUGCUGGGGUGUGCUGCUGUGCACGAAAUACCUCUAUUUUAUUUACUUACUUGUGUUUUAGGGAUUGGCUAGCUUCACUUAGCAUAAUCUGCUCUAACGCCAUCCAUUUCCCUGCAAAUUCUAUGAUUUUGUCAUUUUUUAAUGCAGAGUAAUACUCCAUUGUGUAUAAAUGCCACAUUUUUUUUAUCCAUUCGUCUAUUGAAGGGCAUCUAGGUUGGUUCCACAGUCUUGCUAUUGUGAAUUGUGCUGCUACGAACAUGGAUGUAGCAGUGUCCCUGUAGCAUGCUCUUUUUAGGUCUUCAGGGAAUAGACCGAGAAGGGGAGUAGCUGGGUCAAAUGGUGGCUCCAUUCCCAGCUUUCCAAGAAAUCUCCAUACUGCUUUCCAAAUUGGCUGCACCAAUCUGCAGUCCCACCAGCAAUGUACAAGUGUACCCUUUUCCCCACAUCCUCGCCAGCACUUGUUGCUGUUUGACUUCAUAAUGGCUGCCAAUCUAACUGGAGUGAGAUGGUAUCUUAG
rnacentral:lncRNA from 1 species